UCUGGCUUCCCUAACAUGUGGGCGACAGUCUUAAUAGGAAAACCAUAUGCCAUUGUUCCCCUUCAACUUUCUUUCUUGGCAAGAACACAGCUCCGUGGAGGAAAAAGGGAGAGGAAACAGGGACACAUCGCAGAAGGAGGGAUUCCGGUUUUGAAGUGAGGAAGAGCUUCCGGAGGGUGGAGGCUGCCAAGCGCUGGAUGGAGACGCCAAAAAGAAUGAGAACUUUUUCCAGCCUGGAAAUCUUGAGGUUGCCUUCUCCCUCGGGGUGGCAAUGGCCUCCACACUCUCUGUCCUCGGAGGCCAUGAGAGGUCAGUCACUCGGCCUUCCCAACAGAUUCCUUCAUGCGCACAACGGCAGGCCAGUGAAAUCAGGUGGGUGCCUCUCUGGCAAGGCUGGGCAGCUCCCAGUGAGCCCCCACAUCAUGGAGGGAGAGAGACAACAGCUGUGGUGCACCAUUACCUGAGAUGCUCUGCACUUCCCUCUAAAGCAGGCUCCGUGUGGGAGGAUCUCGCCGACUGCAGGCUAAGGUGAUUGGCUCCUUGGCUGAUUUGUGGAGAAACAAACUGACUGCCCCUCCAGAAAGAAGCUCCCCUCCCACCCUCGCUCCUCUGGCCUCCUCUGUUGAGGAAGGUUGGGCUUCUUCCUCCGUCUGCUCUGUCCAGAAGCUUCUGGAGGAAGAGGAAAUGCACCCAUCCCUUGUGCAACCCUGAAAGGCUAAGCAUUGACCUGGGACCUGAACAGCAGGGUCAGGACAGAGAGCCCACGGCAGGCUGGGAGGAGAUAUGGCCCUGAGGGAGGGGACCAUGUCCUGCUUUUAUGGUUCCUCUAGUGAGUAUUUAUUUGCAGUUGUCUCCCAGACGGCAGCCCUGACCUGUGGCACCGUGGGAUCCACAGCAACUCCGUGUUCAGUGUUACCGUGGCGGGGGGCGGGUGGUGGCGGAACCCAGAGAUAGAGAUCCAAAUGCAAACCACAGGCGGGCAGCAGUGAGGAGAGGGGAGCUGAGCGGAGACUCAGGAGGCAGAGGGCCAAGCCAGGUGGCAGGGCCCAGAGCUUCCAGAGAGGCAGGUCAUUCUGUUUGGUCCAAAGGCAGAGUGUCGGGGCAGGGGACAGGCUGCAGGGGGAAGAACACACAGGAAGGGCAGGAACUGAACAGGGAAGAGCUGGGGCCAGACCUAAGCCCCAGAGACCAGCAGUGUCCCCAGGAAGAACUGGAGACAAAGCCAGGGGCAGCCCCUUGGGGCACCCCCAGGAUGGUGCCCAGCCUGCCCAGGUGGCACCGCAGCAGCAGCAGGCUGGACACACCUCCCCAGGACCUGCAGGCCUGGGCUUCCCCGCCUUCUCCCCUGCAGGUGGUCUGACCCCUCCCUUCCCUCUGCCCUUUCCUUUGCUCCCCACCUGCCCAGCACGGUCCUCACCCUUCAGUGUUUUGCUCCUCCUCUGCCAGCUUCCUGUCUGUGGGCCUCACUUCUUGUCUGUGUUGUUCCCAGGAUCCUAGAUGUUGGGCUCACGGAAAAUACUCAAUAAAUAUUUAUGG